GCGCUCCUUCGGUGCUGCGAGGGCUUAAAUACGCUGCGGAAGUUUCCUCUUCCUCUCACUGCGGCAUGGCGAGACUGAGUUGCAGCGCUGCAUUAGGGCAGCUCAAGCUUCGUUUCAGAGGCACGAAGACGGGUCUAACUUGAACAGAACUGAGAUGGUGCUGUUGCAUUCUACCCAAGCUGAGUUCUUGAUGUGGAUCUCUUCACUUGGCAUCCAUAGCGCUGGUGAUGCUGGCUCCUUCAAGAACUACAGCCAUGAUCCGCUGAGUUGAAUGGAGGCCAAAUGCGUUCCUGGCUUUUUUCCGUUUACUAUGGAAGGAUGCUGUUGAAGCUGGACAAGCUGCCUGGAGCUGAAAAAUGAUAAUUGGGAGGUUUGAGAACCAUACUUUGUCCAAGCUGAAGAUUUAAUGGAUGUCCAACUUUUAGUUUAUCUUUGAUUUUUAAAUGUAAUUCUAUAACGCAGUUGUGGAAGGCCAUGGAACAGUCCUAAAAUUGAACCAUUUCUGUCUAGAUACACUUUGUCUAAACUAAUUUUACUUUUAUGACUUAAGCGCUGAAUUACUUUUUGAGCCUUGGUUUGCAUGUUAAUGCAUUUACAGGGUUUAAAGGAGAGCGCAGCUUCUGAAACUGUCAUGCCCCCAGUGAGAUGCAUGAUAACUACACUGGAAACAAGAUAUUAAAGUUUAAUUCUUUCA